CCUGUUUAAUCAAAAACAUCGCUCCUUGUAUAUAACACAUAAGGAGUCGGACCUGCCCAGUGAAUAUUUUUAACGGCCGCGGUACUCUGACCGUGCAAAGGUAGCAUAAUAAUUUGCCUUAUAAUUGAAGGCUAGUAUGAAUGGUUUGACAAGAGUCUAGCUGUCUCUUUAUGAUUAAAUAGAAUUUUAUUUAUAGGUGAAGAAGCCUAUAUUAAAUUAAAAGACAAGAAGACCCUAUCGAGCUUUAAAGAAACUAAGAGAUUAAAACAUUAAUAAUUCUAAAAAAUUAACUAUUAGAAAUUUUAGUUGGGGCGCCUGAGGAACAAAAAAGCUUCCUUUAAACUUAAAGACUAAACAAGUAUUGAUCCAAAAUAUUUUGAUUAAAGGAAUUAGUUACCGUAGGGAUAACAGCAUUAUCUUUUUUGAGAGCUCCUAUCGAAAAAAAGGUUUGUGACCUCGAUGUUGGACUAGAAUAUCCUAAAGAUGCAGCAGU
rnacentral:rRNA from 1 species